ACUGGUGCGCGAGAUGAGUAUUCUAAGGCGCUUGAGAGAACUCAGGAGAAGGAACUCGGCAAAUUGACACCGUAACUUCGGAAGAAGGUGUGCCUUUAGUAGGUGAACCUGUACAAGGGGAGCCCAAUGAGGUUGCAAAAAAUCGGUGGCUGCGACUGUUUAUUAAAAACACAGCACUCUGCAAACACGAAAGUGGACGUAUAGGGUGUGACGCCUGCCCGGUGCUGGAAGAUUAAAUGAUGGGGUGCAAGCUCUUGAUUGAAGUCCCAGUAAACGGCGGCCGUAACGAUAACGGUCCUAAGGUAGCGAAAUUCCUUGUCGGGUAAGUUCCGACCUGCACGAAUGGCGUAACGAUGGCCACACUGUCUCCUCCUGAGACUCAGCGAAGUUGAAAUGUUUGUGAUGAUGCAAUCUCCCCGCGGAAAGACGGAAAGACCCCAUGAACCUUUACUGUAGCUUUGUAUUGGACUUUGAACAGAUCUGUGUAGGAUAGGUGGGAGGCUUUGAAGCAGGGUCGCUAGAUUUUGUGGAGCCAACGUUGAAAUACCACCCUGGUGUGUUUGAGGUUCUAACCUAGGUCCAUUAUCUGGAUCGGGGACAGUGCAUGGUAGGCAGUUUGACUGGGGCGGUCUCCUCCCAAAGCGUAACGGAGGAGUUCGAAGGUACGCUAGUUACGGUCGGACAUCGUGACGAUAGUGCAAUGGCAUAAGCGUGCUUAACUGCGAGACUGACAAGUCGAGCAGAUGCGAAAGCAGGACAUAGUGAUCCGGUGGUUCUGUAUGGAAGGGCCAUCGCUCAACGGAUAAAAGGUACUCUGGGGAUAACAGGCUGAUACCGCCCAAGAGUUCAUAUCGACGGCGGUGUUUGGCACCUCGAUGUCGGCUCAUCUCAUCCUGGGGCUGUAGCCGGUCCCAAGGGUAUGGCUGUUCGCCAUUUAAAGAGGUACGUGAGCUGGGUUUAAAACGUCGUGAGACAGUUUGGUCCCUAUCUUCCGUGGGCGCUGCAGAUUUGAGGAAGCCUGCUCCUAGUACGAGAGGACCGGAGUGGACAUACCUCUGGUGUAUCUGUUGUCACGCCAGUGGCAUUGCCGAGUAGCUAAGUAUGGAAGAGAUAAACGCUGAAAGCAUCUAAGCGUGAAACUCGUUUCAAGAUGAGAUCUGCCGGGGCCUUGAGCCCCCUAAAGAGUCGUUCAAGACCAGGACGUUGAUAGGUCAGGUGUGGAAGCGCAGUAAUGCGUUAAGCUAACUGAUACUAAUUGCUCGUGCGGCUUGACCUU
rnacentral:rRNA from 1 species